GCUACUUGCCUAUCUCACCAGAUCCGGUCCCCGAGAACACAGGGAAUAUCUCUCUGCGUCACCCGCAGUCGCCAAGGGAAACAGCCAGGCGCGUUCUGAAUCCCGGCCAAGACUGCGGAAAUGAAUCCUUAACUCUGCAAGGGUUGUGGCCUCAGGGUGCAUCCAUUCUUCCUACAAUGACUCAAGUUUAGCCUUCUUAUUGAGCUGGCAGAUGCACCAAGAAGGGACCCCAGGGACAUUCCUGGGGCUGCUAUGACGUCCAGCUCCGUGCUUCCUGGGCAGGUCAGAUCAUGCGCUCUCCUGAACCACUUGCAACAAGGGAUUGUCAUCUACUCAACUGCCAGAACUGCCGCGGACUCCUGAAAUGCCAAGACCUGGAAAGCCAGCCCUGUCUGUCUCAGCCACGUUCUCAUCACUGGGACGCAAGACCUAACCCGAAACUUGAAGGAGAAGACGUUUAUUGUAGCCCAGGGUUCAGUCCAUGGUCUGCUGUUCCAAGGCUGGGUGGCAUGGGAGAGGCGCCUUGCAGAAGAGAGCAGCUCACAGCACGGGGUACAGGAAGUGGGGAGAAGGGAGGAGCCAGGAGGGAGACGAACCCUUCCAGGCCACGCCCUGGGGCCGCCCCUCCCACCAGGCCCCGCCUCCUAACAGCAGUCUGCUCUAAGCCCGCAUUGUCCAAUCAGCUGCCAAAGGCUCAGCCUCUGCGAGCACCAGGCUUGAGGGGACCACACUGUCUGCUGUUACAGGCAGGGUCCGCUUGUCUUUGCAGGACCCAUCACACACUGCCCCAUGGUGCUCGCCAGCCCAUCUACCAUCGACUGCCUGUGUUUUCCUUCUGAUGUUCCACUCUGGGCCUGGUGAGCCUGGAGGGCUGUCCCCUCGGCCCCAGGGUUACCGGUGCCCAGGGAGAGAAGCCGACCAGCCACAAGCCAGGACAGCACCUGGGCCCCUCGUGUCCCGGAGGCCCUGACAUCUCCCAAACUGACUGACGUCAGUCACCCACAGCACACCUGCAGAACCGCAGGGAACCCUCUACGACAUCCCCAAAGCAGGGGGCAACAGCCGUCUGGGAGUGACGGGUGAGGUCUUUUCUUAGGGACGUGGGUGUCAGGUGUCCCCUACUCUGCUGCAGGAACCCUCAGACAGCAGCCCCCGAAGGCUUCAGCCCACAGAGCAGACCUGCCUGUGGGAACAGUGCCUCUUGCCCGUUGCCUCAAGGCCAUUUAAGACGCUCAGGACCUGAGCAAAGUGAGUUCUGGUUGUGAAGUUGAUCCUUUCAGAUGCUUGAUCCCAAACCCCGGCUGUGCUGCAGAGAGCACGCUGGGAGCCCCUUGACCAUUAGCCUUGGAACUGGAAGUUCUAAGUCUGGAGCCGGAACUUGUUCUAACCCUGGUCCUCACUAUCACACUAAAGGCUUUCCUGAGAGGCGAGGCUGCCUCUACUUCCUCUUCUUUGACCCCUCUCCUUUAUCGUCUUCCUCUUCCUCCUC